ensembl:lncRNA
GAGCCAUCCAGCAAGAAGCACUGUCAAUACUGCUAUAUAUCUGAAAAGAUAAACACUUGGCAACUUGGCAACACUUAAGCAUUCUUCAUCCUUAUUCUUUUAUGCAUCAUAAGGAUCUGCUCAGAACACCCACAUACAUGUACAAACAUUGUGUCACUCACACAUAAUACACUCCUUUUUCCAACCACAAUUUUUCCUUUCCCAACAGUUCCAACUAUAAUUCACUGGCAGAGCAAAAUGUUGGAAUAAGCAUCAAAUUUAUCACUGGACAAAGACAGGCCUUUACUUCUCCUCAGUCCUAAAGGCCAAAGUGGAACUGUUUGCAUCUCAUUUGUCAUAAACUUUCAGUAGAUGAGUUAGUUUAUAUCUGGGUGGACUGAGACAGGCUGGAGCUUACUGCAGUGAGGUUUUUUGUUGUUUUAGUCAGGAUGGGGGAAGAACUCACAGUUGUAAAGCUUUACUUUCACUGCUGAGCAAGUCUGACUUUAUCCUGCCUGAAAGAACAGAUGAGCUGUGGUUCAGAAGGGCUCCCUAGGGUGCUCUGGCUAAGUAAUUACAGUAACUUGCAUAAUACCUCUCAUCAAGAAACUGCAGUUUUGCAGCAAGAAGAGGAGACUUGUUCCAUUCACAGCAGAGACUGGAAAAAAAAAAAAGUCAGUCUUCAGUACUAAACUGCCUGUAAUCCAUUUUACCUUACCAGCCCAAGUAAGGGCAGAAAAACUGGGGAAAUAAAUAAAUGAAAAGUGCUAUGUGCAGCUUACUGGAGGACUAGAAAAUACACUAUUCUUUUUUGUCUCAGUUUGGUAGAAGGGAGCCCUCAGGAAGAGUUUACAUAAGGUUUAGUUAGUGACCCCUGAACAGCAAAGCUCUCUUAAGAAGCUAUCUCACAGGUUUCCACUGCCAAAUUCACAGGCUACCACCCAGUCAAGGAUUGUGCCUGAGGCUUGCUCUUCUGUUCUUCAACUGCUUGGUACAUGCAGAUGCCUGCAUAUGUCUCAAAAAUUGAGUUUGUGCAAGUUCUCCUUCCAUCAGCCCUGUGUCAGUCCUGCUCCCUCAGAUGGGGACACAUCCACGAUGCUCUCCAAAUGACACCCCUCCAGGCCACCCACAGACCAGGAAGUCCAACAAGGACCUUUGGUGAACUCCAGGGAACUGAGGCUCUCAGGAUGCCAGGAGAGCAUGGAAUCAUACCAUUGAGAAAUUGAAGAAUAUUUUAGAGAAGUGAAAUAUAUUCCCAUUUAUCCAUCUCAGAGCUCAUCUAAGUUGUCUUUUCAGACUCAGUGAAUGAAUAAAG